rnacentral:rRNA from 1 species
AUUGAACGCUAGCGGGAUGCCUUACACAUGCAAGUCGAACGAGUGGCGAACGGGUGAGUAAUGUAUCGGAACGUGCCCAGUAGCGGGGGAUAACUACGCGAAACGUAGCUAAUACCGCAUACUAUUGGAGCGGCCGAUAUCGGAUUAGCUAGUUGGUGGGGUAACGGCUCACCAAGGCGACGAUCCGUAGCUGGUUUGAGAGGACGACCAGCCCAACUGGGACUGGGACACGGGCCAGACUCCUAAGGGAGGGAGCAGUGGGGAAUUUUGGGAAAUGGGGGAAAACCUGAUUCAGCCCACCCGGGUGUGCGAUUAAGGGCUUUGGGGUGUAAAGCACUUUUGGCAGGAAAGCGGUACCUGCAGAAUAAGCACCGGCUAACUACGUGCCAGCAGCCGCGGUAAUAC